GACGAACGCUGGCGGCGUGCUUAACACAUGCAAGUCGAACGGAAAGGCCCUGCUUUUGUGGGGUGCUCGAGUGGCGAACGGGUGAGUAACACGUGAGUAACCUGCCCUUGACUUUGGGAUAACUUCAGGAAACUGGGGCUAAUACCGGAUAGGAGCUCCUGCUGCAUGGUGGGGGUUGGAAAGUUUCGGCGGUUGGGGAUGGACUCGCGGCUUAUCAGCUUGUUGGUGGGGUAGUGGCUUACCAAGGCUUUGACGGGUAGCCGGCCUGAGAGGGUGACCGGCCACAUGGGGACUGAGAUAGGGACCAGACUCCUACGGGAGGCAGCAGGGGGGAAUAUUGCACAAUGGGCGGAAGCCUGAUGCGGCAGCGCCGCGUGCGGGAUGACGGCCUUCGGGUUGUAAACCGCUUUCGCCUGUGACGAAGCGUGAGUGACGGUAAUGGGUAAAGAAGCACCGGCUAACUACGUG
rnacentral:rRNA from 1 species